rnacentral:rRNA from 1 species
GGGUUGUGAGGUUAAGCGACUAAGCGUACACGGUGGAUGCCCUGGCAGUCAGAGGCGAUGAAGGACGUGCUAAUCUGCGAUAAGCGUCGGUAAGGUGAUAUGAACCGUUAUAACCGGCGAUUUCCGAAUGGGGAAACCCAGUGUGAUUCGUCACACUAUCAUUAACUGAAUCCAUAGGUUAAUGAGGCGAACCGGGGGAACUGAAACAUCUAAGUACCCCGAGGAAAAGAAAUCAACCGAGAUUCCCCCAGUAGCGGCGAGCGAACGGGGAGCAGCCCAGAGCCUGAAUCAGUGUGUGUGUUAGUGGAAGCGUCUGGAAAGGCGUGCGAUACAGGGUGACAGCCCCGUACACAAAAAUGCACAUACUGUGAGCUCGAUGAGUAGGGCGGGACACGUGGUAUCCUGUCUGAAUAUGGGGGGACCAUCCUCCAAGGCUAAAUACUCCUGACUGACCGAUAGUGAACCAGUACCGUGAGGGAAAGGCGAAAAGAACCCCGGCGAGGGGAGUGAAAAAGAACCUGAAACCGUGUACGUACAAGCAGUGGGAGCACGCUUAGGCGUGUGACUGCGUACCUUUUGUAUAAUGGGUCAGCGACUUAUAUUCUGUAGCAAGGUUAACCGAAUAGGGGAGCCGAAGGGAAACCGAGUCUUAACUGGGCGUUAAGUUGCAGGGUAUAGACCCGAAACCCGGUGAUCUAGCCAUGGGCAGGUUGAAGGUUGGGUAACACUAACUGGAGGACCGAACCGACUAAUGUUGAAAAAUUAGCGGAUGACUUGUGGCUGGGGGUGAAAGGCCAAUCAAACCGGGAGAUAGCUGGUUCUCCCCGAAAGCUAUUUAGGUAGCGCCUCGUGAAUUCAUCUCCGGGGGUAGAGCACUGUUUCGGCAAGGGGGUCAUCCCGACUUACCAACCCGAUGCAAACUGCGAAUACCGGAGAAUGUUAUCACGGGAGACACACGGCGGGUGCUAACGUCCGUCGUGAAGAGGGAAACAACCCAGACCGCCAGCUAAGGUCCCAAAGUCAUGGUUAAGUGGGAAACGAUGUGGGAAGGCCCAGACAGCCAGGAUGUUGGCUUAGAAGCAGCCAUCAUUUAAAGAAAGCGUAAUAGCUCACUGGUCGAGUCGGCCUGCGCGGAAGAUGUAACGGGGCUAAACCAUGCACCGAAGCUGCGGCAGCGACGCUUAUGCGUUGUUGGGUAGGGGAGCGUUCUGUAAGCCUGUGAAGGUGUGCUGUGAGGUAUGCUGGAGGUAUCAGAAGUGCGAAUGCUGACAUAAGUAACGAUAAAGCGGGUGAAAAGCCCGCUCGCCGGAAGACCAAGGGUUCCUGUCCAACGUUAAUCGGGGCAGGGUGAGUCGACCCCUAAGGCGAGGCCGAAAGGCGUAGUCGAUGGGAAACAGGUUAAUAUUCCUGUACUUGGUGUUACUGCGAAGGGGGGACGGAGAAGGCUAUGUUGGCCGGGCGACGGUUGUCCCGGUUUAAGCGUGUAGGCUGGUUUUCCAGGCAAAUCCGGAAAAUCAAGGCCGAGGCGUGAUGACGAGGCACUACGGUGCUGAAGCAACAAAUGCCCUGCUUCCAGGAAAAGCCUCUAAGCAUCAGGUAACAUCAAAUCGUACCCCAAACCGACACAGGUGGUCAGGUAGAGAAUACCAAGGCGCUUGAGAGAACUCGGGUGAAGGAACUAGGCAAAAUGGUGCCGUAACUUCGGGAGAAGGCACGCUGAUACGUAGGUGAAGCGACUUGCUCGUGGAGCUGAAAUCAGUCGAAGAUACCAGCUGGCUGCAACUGUUUAUUAAAAACACAGCACUGUGCAAACACGAAAGUGGACGUAUACGGUGUGACGCCUGCCCGGUGCCGGAAGGUUAAUUGAUGGGGUUAGCGCAAGCGAAGCUCUUGAUCGAAGCCCCGGUAAACGGCGGCCGUAACUAUAACGGUCCUAAGGUAGCGAAAUUCCUUGUCGGGUAAGUUCCGACCUGCACGAAUGGCGUAAUGAUGGCCAGGCUGUCUCCACCCGAGACUCAGUGAAAUUGAACUCGCUGUGAAGAUGCAGUGUACCCGCGGCAAGACGGAAAGACCCCGUGAACCUUUACUAUAGCUUGACACUGAACAUUGAGCCUUGAUGUGUAGGAUAGGUGGGAGGCUUUGAAGUGUGGACGCCAGUCUGCAUGGAGCCGACCUUGAAAUACCACCCUUUAAUGUUUGAUGUUCUAACGUGGACCCGUGAUCCGGGUUGCGGACAGUGUCUGGUGGGUAGUUUGACUGGGGCGGUCUCCUCCUAAAGAGUAACGGAGGAGCACGAAGGUUGGCUAAUCCUGGUCGGACAUCAGGAGGUUAGUGCAAUGGCAUAAGCCAGCUUGACUGCGAGCGUGACGGCGCGAGCAGGUGCGAAAGCAGGUCAUAGUGAUCCGGUGGUUCUGAAUGGAAGGGCCAUCGCUCAACGGAUAAAAGGUACUCCGGGGAUAACAGGCUGAUACCGCCCAAGAGUUCAUAUCGACGGCGGUGUUUGGCACCUCGAUGUCGGCUCAUCACAUCCUGGGGCUGAAGUAGGUCCCAAGGGUAUGGCUGUUCGCCAUUUAAAGUGGUACGCGAGCUGGGUUUAGAACGUCGUGAGACAGUUCGGUCCCUAUCUGCCGUGGGCGCUGGAGAACUGAGGGGGGCUGCUCCUAGUACGAGAGGACCGGAGUGGACGCAUCACUGGUGUUCGGGUUGUCAUGCCAAUGGCACUGCCCGGUAGCUAAAUGCGGAAGAGAUAAGUGCUGAAAGCAUCUAAGCACGAAACUUGCCCCGAGAUGAGUUCUCCCUGACCCUUUAAGGGUCCUGAAGGAACGUUGAAGACGACGACGUUGAUAGGCCGGGUGUGUAAGCGCAGCGAUGCGUUGAGCU